rnacentral:rRNA from 1 species
UGGAGACCACCUCCUAUGGGUUUUGUGAAAAUCAAUGUCGAUGGUGCAUUAUCAAGAUCAAGCUCAGAGGGCUCCUCUUCGACAAUAUGCAGAAACUCAGAAGGAAGGUACCUGGGCGCCUCGGCUUUGAAACUCGCGGGAUUAAAGGACCCAACUAUCCUUGAAACUCCAGUGUGUCGAGAGGCUCUCUCUCUAGCGCUCGACCUCAACCUCACCAAGGUAGUUGUGCCUUCUUACCAUAAAGGAGUGGUCGACGACUUCAACAACGGCAUGGGUGGAUUACAUGGUAAAAUAGUUAAAACAAAUUAUCUCUAUUGCAGCUAA